UGCCGUGAUGUCGUAAUUUGCGUCUUACUCUGUGCUCAGUGACAGUUGCCUGCUGUCAGUGUACUGGUACAGAUGGUUGACGAACAGUUUAACGCUGAGCA